UUUAUAUUUUCAUUCUUGGAUGUAUAAAGUGAAUUAUUUGGCUCCUGUAAGUAUCCUCUAUGCAUCUGUUUGAUCAUGUAUUUAUAUGUUGUACACAGUACUGGCCAACUCUGUAAAUGGAUGUAAUGUACAUAGAACAUAAAGGGUUCUUUUUUUUCCUUGGAUUUUCAGGCUCUACAGCAGUAUUGCAUUAAAGUGGUGUUAGUUAUUAAUCUGCAUCUGUAGUCAGAGCCACUGUAUUCUGUCUUGCCUGACGUGAGGCUCAACAUGCAAAGGUGUCUCUCGGUCCUGACAGCCUCCCGCUCUGCCCAGGCCGCCGUGCUGCGUUGUGCAGGUAGACCGUGAUGUGCAGACUCAAGGAUGACCCGAUGGCAUUUGCCGAGUCGAGUGUGCUUCGCUGGUCACUCCUCUAAGCUGUUGCCAGUUGUUGCUGUAACUGAUCUCCUAGAGCGUGGCUGUAGCUGCGUUGCAGGAAGCCGUACAAGUCCCUAUUUGAGAUGCAAGCCUGAGGCAUGCAACAAGUGUAGUCUCUGACAUGGUUUAUCCUUAAUGCAUCUGGCAGCCUCACAUGGUGGGAGUGAGAGAGACCAGCGCACGUGGGCACACGCGCCCGCACCCCGGGAUGAAGGCGGAGCGGAGGUGUGAAACCUGCUUACCAAAGAUAGGGAGCGGAGCUGGGGGGUUCUGGCUCUGCCUCCUUUGGGGCCACUGUAGUGUACAGAUUGAACCGGUCCGGUUUGCAGAGCCCUCCGGGGGGGCCUGCUCAUGUAUGUCCCUUGUGGUAUUGGAAAAAUAAACACUCUGUAAAACCUG